rnacentral:sRNA from 1 species
CAGAUGUCCUUGAAAGGAACCCCCACAGAGAGAGCCACUCUCGAUAGGUGGGGAGUUAAACCCGCUUCAUUUACGGCGAAUAAACAGGUCCAUCCGGUUAUCUAUAUUCCCUUUUAUUCGGUUUUUCAUAAUGGCCCCUACUGAAAAUGCGAGCCUCUCCAACUUCGCUGUCUCCCCGUUCGGCCCGGUCUGCAAUAUGACCAAGACGAAGAAAACCGGCGCUGGCAAAAAUUGCCGCGGCCCCAAACUGGUCCUGUCGCUCUGGUAAUGACCCAUUUGCUUCUAGUUCCCCUACUACCCCGAUAGAUCCGAUUUCGUCCCCAAACCCCUUUCCACUUUUGGGGGCCGGGCCAACACUUUUUCAUGACAGCCCAACUAGGCCAGAAUAAUUUGAUGUUUACAUGGUUUACUUUUGUCCAGAACGCCCUCACAUAUAACUAUUUAUCCGGAUUGUUGCUUUUGCUUCUUCAAUUCCAUUCAGCUUCGCCGCCUAGUCAAUAAUAUCCUCUAUAUAGCCCAUCAUUCAUAUUCUCAAACAAGGUGAUUUCAUGAA